UGGGGAAUUUUGCGCAAUGGGGGAAACCCUGACGCAGCGACGCCGCGUGGGCGAUGAAGGCCUUCGGGUCGUAAAGCCCUGUCGAGCGGGACGAAACGUGUGGGCUCGAAUACAGCUCACACCUGACGGUACCGCUGGAGGAAGCCCCGGCCAACUCCGUGCCAGCAGCCGCGGUAAUACGGAGGGGGCUAGCGUUAUUCGGAAUUAUUGGGCGUAAAGAGCGUGUAGGCGGCCUGGUAUGUCUCUUGUGAAAGCCCUCGGCUCAGCCGAGGAAUUGCAGGAGAAACUGCCAGGCUCGAGUUCGGGAGAGGAGAGCGGAAUUCCCAGUGUAGCGGUGAAAUGCGUAGAUAUUGGGAGGAACACCCGUGGCGAAGGCGGCUCUCUGGACCGACACUGACGCUGAGACGCGAAAGCUAGGGGAGCGAACGGGAUUAGAUACCCCCGUAGUCC
rnacentral:rRNA from 1 species